rnacentral:misc_RNA from 1 species
CGGCCAGCGAGAGAAAAGAGCACAAGGCAGAGAAGAGGAAAGAGAGGAAGACGACGUCGCGUUAGGGUGUUGCAGAGGAAUGAUCUUAACUGGUCGGACGCCGGAUGUCGGCAUGGAGGAUCCGGAGGUGGAAGCGGCGACGGAGGUGAGGUCGCUAGAACUGGAGGAGGCAUAAGUUAUCUCCAUGCGCACCCGGCGUGCAUCGGAGGAAAAUAGAUAGGCGCAAAUGUGAAGGGCCACAAUGACUGUCGCGGAGAGAGAGAGAGAAU